GCUUACGGCCAUACCACCCUGAGAACGCCCGAUCUCAUCUGAUCUCGGAAGCUAAGCAGGGUCGGGCCUGGUUAGUACUUGGAUGGGAGACCGCCUGGGAAUACCAGGUGCUGUAAGCU
ensembl:rRNA 5S_rRNA 5S ribosomal RNA